GACAGGUGCUGCAUGGCUGUCGUCAGCUCGUGUUGUGAAAUGUUGGGUUAAGUCUCGCAACGAGCGCAACCCCUAUCUUUAGUUGCCAGCAUUAAGUUGGGCACUCUAGAGAGACUGCCCGGGUUAACCGGGAGGAAGGUGGGGAUGACGUCAAGUCCUCAUGGCCCUUAUGCCUUGGGCUACACACGUAAUACAAUGGUUGGUACAGAGGGACGCGAGCACGCGAGUGUUAGCAAAUCUCAAAAAGCCAAUCUCAGUCCGGAUUGGAGUCUGCAACUCGACUCCAUGAAGUUGGAAUCGCUAGUA
rnacentral:rRNA from 1 species